rnacentral:rRNA from 1 species
GCUACGGGAGGCAGCAGUGAGGAAUAUUGGUCAAUGGGCGGAAGCCUGAACCAGCCAAAUAGCGUGCGGGAUGAAGGCCCUACGGGUCGUAAACCGCUUUUGCACGGGGAUAACACCCUCCACUUGUGGAAGUCUGCAGGUACCGUGCGAAUAAGGGCCGGCUAAUUCCGGGCCAGCGGCCGCGGUAAUACGGAAGGCCCGAGCGUUAUCCGGUUUCAGUGGGCUUAAAGGGAGCGUAGGCGGGCGUUCAAGUCCGCUGUAAAAUCGCGCGGCGCAACCGCGCACCGCAGUUGAAACUGGACGCAUUGAGUGCACAACAGGCAGGCGGAAUUCGUGGUGUAGCGGUGAAAUGCAUAGAUAUCACGAGGAACCCCGAUUGCGAAGGCAGCCUGCCGGGGUGCGACUGACGCUGAGGCUCGAAGGUGCGGGUAUCAAACAGGAUUAGAUACCCUUGUAGUC